CCAAUAGCGUAUAUUAAAGUUGUUGCAGUUAAAAAGCUCGUAGUUGAAUUUCGGAUCCAUAUAUUGGUCGUGCCUUGGUACGUACUGGUAUCAUUGAUUUCUCCCUUCUGACGAACCAUGAUGUCAUUAAUUUGGUGUUAUGGGGAGUUAGGACUGUUACUUUGAAAAAAUUAGAGUGUUUAAAGCAAGCAUUAGCUUGAAUACAUUAGCAUGGAAUAAUGAAAUAGGACGUUUGACCCUAUUUUGUUGGUUUCUAGGAUCGACGUAAUGAUUAAUAGGGAUAGUUGGGGGCAUUAGUAUUCAAUUGUCAGAGGUGAAAUUCUUGGAUUUAUUGAAGACUAACUACUGCGAAAGCAUUUGCCAAGGAUGUUUUCAUUUAUCAAGAACGAAGUUAGGGGAUCGAAGACGAUCAGAUACGUCGUAGUCCUAACCAUAAACUAUGCGACUAGGGAUCGGAUGAUGUUUAUUUUAUAAUGACUCA
rnacentral:rRNA from 1 species